rnacentral:rRNA from 1 species
UCUUUCGGGGGGGUGCUAAAAAAUGGCAAGUCGAGCAUUGGAAGUUGCGUGCUCUCUGAUUCAGCGGCGGACGGGUGAGUAAUGCCUAGGAAUCUGCCUGGUAGUGGGGGACAACGUCUCGAAAGGGACGCUAAUACCGCAUACGUCCUACGGGAGAAAGCAGGGGACCUUCGGGCCUUGCGCUAUCAGAUGAGCCUAGGUCGGAUUAGCUAGUUGGUGGGGUAAAGGCUCACCAAGGCGACGAUCCGUAACUGGUCUGAGAGGAUGAUCAGUCACACUGGAACUGAGACACGGUCCAGACUCCUACGGGAGGCAGCAGUGGGGAAUAUUGGACAAUGGGCGAAAGCCUGAUCCAGCCAUGCCGCGUGUGUGAAGAAGGUCUUCGGAUUGUAAAGCACUUUAAGUUGGGAGGAAGGGCCAUUACCUAAUACGUGAUGGUUUUGACGUUACCGACAGAAUAAGCACCGGCUAACUCUGUGCCAGCAGCCGCGGUAAUACAGAGGGUGCAAGCGUUAAUCGGAAUUACUGGGCGUAAAGCGCGCGUAGGUGGUUCGUUAAGUUGGAUGUGAAAUCCCCGGGCUCAACCUGGGAACUGCAUCCAAAACUGGCGAGCUAGAGUAGGGCAGAGGGUGGUGGAAUUUCCUGUGUAGCGGUGAAAUGCGUAGAUAUAGGAAGGAACACCAGUGGCGAAGGCGACCACCUGGGCUCAUACUGACACUGAGGUGCGAAAGCGUGGGGAGCAACAGAAAC